rnacentral:rRNA from 1 species
UACGGAGGAUGCGAGCGUUAUCCGGAUUUAUUGGGUUUAAAGGGUGCGCAGGCGGGAUUUUAAGUCAGCGGUGAAAUUUUCAGGCUCAACCUGAACACUGCCGUUGAAACUGGGAUUCUUGAGUAUGGAUGAAGUAGGCGGAAUUCGUUGUGUAGCGGUGACAUGCUUAGAUAUAACGAGGAACUCCGAUUGCGUAGGCAGCUUACUAAGCCAUAACUGACGCUCAAGCACGAAAGCGUGGGGAUCAAACAGGAUUAGAUACCCUGGUAGUCCACGCCGUAAACGAUGAUUACUAGUUGUUUGCGAUAUACCGUAAGUGACUAAGCGAAAGCGAUAAGUAAUCCACCUGGGGAGUACGCCGGCAACGGUGAAACUCAAAUGAAUUGGCGG